rnacentral:rRNA from 1 species
AACGAACGCUGGCGGCAGGCUUAACACAUGCAAGUCGAACGCAUCCUUCGGGGUGAGUGGCAGACGGGUGAGUAACGCGUGGGAACGUGCCCUUCAGUUCGGGAUAACCCAGGGAAACUUGGGCUAAUACCGGAUACGUGCGAGAGCAGAAAGAUUUAUCGCUGAAGGAUCGGCCCGCGUCUGAUUAGCUAGUUGGUGGGUGAAUGGCCGACCAAGGCGACGAUCAGUAGCUGGUCUGAGAGGAUGAUCAGCCACAUUGGGACUGCGCACCGGCCCAAACGCCUACGGGAGGAAGCAGUGGGGAAUAUUGGACAAUGGGCGCAAGCCUGAUCCAGCCAUGCCGCGUGAGUGAUGAAGGCCUUAGGGUUGUAAAGCUCUUUCGUCCGGGACGAUAAUGACGGUACCGGAAGAAGAAGCCCCGGCUAACUUCGUGCCAGCAGCCGCAGUAA